rnacentral:rRNA from 1 species
UACGUAGGGGGCUAGCGUUGUCCGGAAUCAUUGGGCGUAAAGCGCGUGUAGGCGGUCCGGUAAGUCCGCUGUGAAAGUCGGGGGCUCAACCCUGGCAUGGCAUUGAAUACUACCUUGCUAGAGUACCGGAGAGGAAACUGGAAUUUACGGUGUAGCAGUGAAAUGCGUAGAGAUCGUAAGGAAGACCAGUGGCGAAGGCGAGUUUCUGGACGGUAACUGACGCUGAGGCACGAAGGCCAGGGGAGCAAACGGG